CAAGGAAAUGUGAAUAAAGUGCAGACUUCAGCUAAUAGUAAUGAAUCAACAAUAGUUCCUUAAUUGUGAUAAAUGUACUGUACAUACUAAUGUUAAUAAUUUUUUUUUAGGCUGGGCUCCAGUAGCUCAAUGGUUAGGAUGCUGGCCAAUGUAAAUAGCAUUAAUAUGCUAAUGUUAAUAAUUUUUUUUUUUUUUUUUGCAGUUUUUGGCUGGGGCUGGGUUUGAACCUGUCACCUCCAGUAUAUGGGGCCAGCAAACUACUCCUUUGAGCCACAGGUGCCCCCCGUUAAUAAUUUUUUUUUUUAGGCUGGGAGCCCGUAGCUCCAAUGCUCUGGAGCUGGUGGGCUCGAACCCAGCCCAGGCCUGCUAAAUAAAUAAACAAAAAUAGCCAGGUGUUGUGGUAGGCACCUAUAGUCCCAGCUACUAGGGAGGUUGAGAGAAGAGAAUCACUUGAGCCCAAGAGUUUGAGGUUGCUGUGAGCUAUGACACCACAGCACUCUACCCAGCAUGAAAAAGUAUUUUUCUUUUCAUUUAAAAAGAAAAAUAAUAAUAAUUAAAAAAAAUUUUUUUUGAGAUAGAGUCUCUCUUUGUCGCUCUCAGUACAGUGCCAUGGUAUCACAGCUCACAGCAACCUCAAACUCUUGGGCUCAAGGGAUCCUGGUAACUCAGACUCCCGAGUAGCUGGGACUAUAUGCAUCCACCACAAUGCCUGGCUAUUUCUUUAGAGAUGGGGUCUUGCUCUGGCUCAGGCUGGUCUCAAACUCCUGAGCUCAGGCAAUCUACCCAAAUAGCUUUUUGUUUAAAGAGUCUAAAGAGAUUAACCAUCAUUUGUAACGAGUGGACCUUGUGUGAGUCCUGAUUAGAAGGAAUCACCUAUAAAAAGGAGCAUCUGUAACUCAACCUGGGACAUCUGAUUUAUGAACUGUGUAUGGAUGGUACCAAGAGAUUUACCUUUAAUUAUGAUUGACGUGAUAAUUGUAGUUAUUUGUUUCAUAGAGACACAAACUGAAUAAGGUAAAAUGACACGUUGUGAAUUACUUUAAAAAGUUUAACAUCGGGGCAGCGCCUGUGGCUCAAAGGUCCCAUAUGCUGGAGGUGGCGGGUUCAAACCCAGCCCCGGCCAAAAGCAGCAAAAAAUAAAUAAAUAAAUAAGUAAAUAAACAAAAUAAAAAGUUUAACGAAAGGGGAAAAAAGAUGUCUGAAGCAAGGGUAGUGAGAUCUUCAGCUGUUGAGCCUGGGGGAUGGGAGUUCACAAAAUGAUUUUUAUGGCUUCUCAUAUGUUUUAACAUUUUCAUAAUAACAAUCAUGACUUUUUUUUUUUUUUUGGUUUUUGGCCAGGGCUGGAUUUGAACCCACCACCUCUGGCAUAUGGGACCGGCGCCCUACCCCUUGAGCCACAGGCGCUGCCCCAAUCAUGACUUUUUUCAUACCACCCUUUCGAUAACUCCCUAUUCUACAUAUGAUCAUGAAUAUUUUCAUUUAUGGAACUUCUAUCCAAGUAUAAAUAUCUACACUUCUGAUGUUGUAUCCCAAUAUUUAGUAUCCCUUAAUCCAAGAAGUACUUCUAAGGCAAGAAACACUUGUGAGAUUUAAUAAGUUAGAUUUUUGAAAAAUGCCUAAUUGACAAGGUACCAGCGUCUGUUCCUGUUUCUAUCGUUUAACUAUGAUUUAAGUGAUCUUGUACCAUAUACAGAAUUCUGUGAGUGUUGCUAUAAAAUUUACAAUUCUUUAAGAGUACACCUAAUGUUUUGUUUGGCAGUAAUAAAAAGAAUGAAAUAAAAAGUCUUAAUUUUCUGAACUGAAAGUAGAUACAAUAGUUUUAAGAAAUGCAAAGCAGCCUCGGUCCUCUGCCCGGGCCUGCGGAGCCUGUUCGCGACGACUGACCAGUCCGCGAAUUCUCCGCUCCGAUCCGGUCCGACCUUCCCCUAUCCCAGCUUUCUAUUGUUUGAAAACUCUAAGAAUAAUGUCCCUGCAUCAGUUUUUACUAGAGCCAAUCACCUGUCAUGCCUGGAACAGGGAUCGUACCCAAAUUGCCCUUAGCCCAAUAAUCACGAAGUGCACAUCUAUAAGAAAAACCGGAGCCAGUGGAUAAAAGCUCAUGAACUCAAGGAGCACAACGGACACAUCACAGGUAUUGACUGGGCUCCCAAAAGCGACCGCAUCGUCACUUGUGGGGCAGACCGCAAUGCCUAUGUCUGGAGUCAGAAAGAUGGUGUCUGGAAGCCAACCCUGGUGAUCCUGAGAAUUAAUCGCGCAGCCACUUUUGUGAAGUGGUCCCCCUUAGAGAACAAAUUUGCUGUGGGAAGUGGAGCACGACUCAUUUCUGUUUGUUACUUCGAGUCUGAAAAUGGUGGGUAAGCAAACACAUUAAAAAGCCGAUUUGCUCUACAGUCCUUAGCUUGGAUUGGCAUCCAACAAUGUUUUGCUGGCAGCAGGAUGAUGUGACUUCAAAUGCAGAGUGUUUUCUGCCUAUAUUAAAGAAGUGGAUGAAAAGCCAGCCAGUACACCCUGGGGCAGCAAGAUGCCUUUUGGUCAGCUGAUGUCAGAGUUUGGGGGCAAUGGCACAGGUGGCUGGGUCCAGGGGGUCAGCUUCUCCGCCAGUGGGAGUCGCCUGGCCUGGGUCAGUCAUGACAACACCGUGUCUGUUGCUGAUGCUUCAAAAAGUGUACAGGUCUCAACUCUGAAAACAGAGUUCCUACCACUCCUGAGUGUGUCAUUUGUCUCGGAGAAUAGUGUUGUGGCUGCUGGUCAUGACUGCUGCCCAAUGCUCUUUAACUAUGAUGACCGUGGCUGCUUGACCUUUGUGUCCAAGUUAGACAUUCCAAAACAGAGCAUCCAGCGCAACAUGUCUGCUAUGGAACGUUUCCGCAACAUGGACAAGAGGGCCACAACCGAGGACCGCAAUACAGCCCUGGAGACGCUGCACCAGAAUAGCAUCACUCAAGUAUCUAUUUAUGAGGUGGACACGCAAGAUUGUCGCAAAUUUUGCACUACUGGCAUUGAUGGAGCCAUGACAAUUUGGGAUUUCAAGACCUUAGAAUCUUCUAUCCAGGGCCUCCGGAUAAUGUGAAGCUGAGUGAGCCUCUGCCAUCCAGCACGACAAACAGUCGCUGACCGCAGCUCUGCCAUUGGAUGGAGAGGAAAGCCAGCCCCAAGGAACACUGAAAACACAUAUCGUGCAAAUAUUGUGUGGUUUUGUUUGAGUAUAAAAUUGGUGAAAGUAUUGGUUUUUUUAAAGCAGCAGUGAUUUUUUUUUUUUUUUUUUUUUGGCUAUUUCAUUCCAUU